AUUGAACGCUGGCGGUAGGCCUAACACAUGCAAGUCGAACGGCAGCACAGUAAGAGCUUGCUCUUACGGGUGGCGAGUGGCGGACGGGUGAGGAAUACAUCGGAAUCUACUUUUUCGUGGGGGAUAACGUAGGGAAACUUACGCUAAUACCGCAUACGACCUACGGGUGAAAGCAGGGGAUCUUCGGACCUUGCGCGAUUGAAUGAGCCGAUGUCGGGUUAGCUAGUUGGCGGGGUAAAGGCCCACCAAGGCGACGAUCCGUAGCUGGUCUGAGAGGAUGAUCAGCCACACUGGAACUGAGACACGGUCCAGACUCCUACGGGAGGCAGCAGUGGGGAAUAUUGGACAAUGGGCGCAAGCCUGAUCCAGCCAUACCGCGUGGGUGAAGAAGGCCUUCGGGUUGUAAAGCCAUUUUGUUGGGAAAGAAAAGCAGCAGGUUAAUACCCCGCUGUUCUGACGGUACCCAAAGAAUAAGCACCGGCUAACUUCGUG
rnacentral:rRNA from 1 species